rnacentral:lncRNA from 1 species
UAUUUUUCUCUGCUGGUAUCAAAUGAAAUUCAUUUGGUAUCAGCUGGAGUUUUUAUCGUGCUAAUGGAAGUUAUUUUCAGUUAUCACGUCAGUCUGUACAAGAAAGACGAUGGAGCCCUGCAGAUACAAAGCUGCUCCCUGCAGGAUUUUAAUUAUUUAUAUUCUUCCAGCAAACGGAGCCCUCAUCCGUUUUCUGAGGAUAGGGUAUGUGGAGACUAGGGGGUCAAAACGCAGUUGCUGACACGGUUAGCCUGGUAAAGGGCGAUUUAAUUGAUCUCCUCUGCACAUGGACAUGCUGAAAGCCUGAGAUCACUGUACCAAAAAUCAUAACUGGUAGCAUGGCAGAAAGCUAAUUUUGCCGUAAGAACUCCAGAGCGUAAGGGAUUUUUUUCCUCCAAAGGUCAAAGGCAGGGUCAUCUGACUCCUAUUACCAGGGCAAGGGUCCAGCUGUUGGUAGAAGACAGCACUGUUUUU